GGAUGAACGCUAGCUACAGGCUUAACACAUGCAAGUCGAGGGGCAGCAUUUCAGUUUGCUUGCAAACUGGAGAUGGCGACCGGCGCACGGGUGAGUAACACGUAUCCAACCUGCCGAUAACUCGGGGAUAGCCUUUCGAAAGAAAGAUUAAUACCCGAUGGUAUAAUCAGACCGCAUGGUCUUGUUAUUAAAGAAUUUCGGUUAUCGAUGGGGAUGCGUUCCAUUAGGCAGUUGGUGAGGUAACGGCUCACCAAACCUUCGAUGGAUAGGGGUUCUGAGAGGAAGGUCCCCCACAUUGGAACUGAGACACGGUCCAAACUCCUACGGGAGGCAGCAGUGAGGAAUAUUGGUCAAUGGGCGCAGGCCUGAACCAGCCAAGUAGCGUGAAGGAUGACUGCCCUAUGGGUUGUAAACUUCUUUUAUAUGGGAAUAAAGUUUCCCACGUGUGGAAUUUUGUAUGUACCAUAUGAAUAAGGAUCGGCUAACUCCGUGCCAGCAGCCGCGGUAAUACGGAGGAUCCGAGCGUUAUCCGGAUUUAUUGGGUUUAAAGGGAGCGUAGGUGGACAGUUAAGUCAGUUGUGAAAGUUUGCGGCUCAACCGUAAAAUUGCAGUUGAUACUGGCUGUCUUGAGUACAGUAGAGGUGGGCGGAAUUCGUGGUGUAGCGGUGAAAUGCUUAGAUAUCACGAAGAACUCCGAUUGCGAAGGCAGCUUACUAACCUGUAACUGACAUUGAUGCUCGAAAGUGUGGGUAUCAAACAGGAUUAGA
rnacentral:rRNA from 1 species